GGAAGGUCUCUGCUGCCUGGGAACGUCACUCUCCGACGAUGGAGAGUGCCGGUGAUGCAGGGGAUCCCGAGGAGUACGCUACGGAGCCCCGAGGACAGGAAAACCAACCAACAAAGUGUGGACUUAACCAAUCAAAUAACCAGAUUACAGUCCUCAGACUAGUCACCAAUUGGUUGGCAGGAUGCAGCGAUUUUGGAACUAAAAGGAGUCCAACAGAGCUAUAGCUCAAAACCAGAGGAACAAUGAAAAAUGGCAAAUUCAAUGGGAUUAAUGGAGGGAGAGUCACGAGUAUACACCAGAAGUCAUUGUGGAGAGACAGAGGGAGACAAAGCCAAGGAGUCAAACAAAUGCAGAAUAUAUUAGAAAUAGAGGCUGGAGGAAGGGUUCAGGAACAGAAAUCAACACCAUGAAGGCCAUGGCAUCCAGGCUCUCAUGUGAUAUCAUUGUCAAGCAUUUGGUGCACAUGUUUUAGGCAACCAUUCAAGGUGAGCUCAAAUGUUUGCUACUUAUGAACUAUUUAUAUUACACUAAAAUGUGUCCUGGCUUAAUAUUCACCAAAAUUCCAAAUUGAUGCAUUUUUGGGUAACCAUAUCUUAAGACUCACUUACUUACUUUGAAGACUUUGCUGUCUGGAAUACAUAACCUACGCGGACAUGCCAAGUGUGGUUCAGAUUUAUGACACCAGACAACCUGGAUUACAGUACAGUAUUAACAAACUGGAAUUGGUAAGAGCUCAGCUCAUCUCUGGCUCAGAAGGUAAUAAAUAGUUCUGUCUGUGUCUACAUGAAUGUUUAUCAGGUCAGACAUACAGUAGGAUACUUCAUGCCCCUGCAUUAACCUCCAGCCCUAGUACUCACAGACAACAGGACUUCCACUUCACAAGCACUUCAGAAUAAAGAUGAUAAGAAGAUUACAAGAAAAGCCUCUCUUCACAAUUUGACUUCCUCAGCCGGUUAAAUUACAAAUGCAUCGGUCAUCUGACAUCUGAAACCAAGGUUCAAACAUCUCCGCAGGUGAUGGGUCAGAUUCUGCCAGAAAAGUUUAUUUGACCUGAAGUAAGAAGACUUAAAAGGUUCCAAGUAGGGCUAUGAUGUGUAUACAAUAGCAACAUGUAAUGUUUAAAUUCAUGUGGUUCGGACUAUGAGCAUUGUGCAGAUAUCUGUAUAAAUAACAAAAUUGUUGCCACAAAUAAGGAAAAAAAUUGUAUAUUCUUUGCGAUAAACUUUGGCUGCAAUUUCUUUUUUUUUUUUUUACUUUAACUUAAGGACAC